UGGGGAAUAUUGCACAAUGGGGGAAACCCUGAUGCAGCGACGCCGCGUGAACGAAGAAGGUAUUCGUAUCGUAAAGUUCUGUCCUAUGGGAAGAUAAUGACAGUACCAUAGAAGAAAGCUCCGGCUAAAUACGUGCCAGCAGCCGCGGUAAUACGUAUGGAGCGCGCGUUGUCCGGAAUUAUUGGGCGUAAAGGGUACGCAGGCGGUUUAAUAAGUCGAAUGUUAAAGAUCGGGGCUCAACCCCGCAAAGCAUUGGAAACUGAUAAACUUAAGUAGGGGAGAGGAAAGUGGAAUUCCUAGUGUAGUGGUGAAAUACGUAGAUAUUAGGAGGAAUACCAGUAGCGAAGGCGACUUUCUGGACACAAACUGACGCUGAGGUACGAAAGAGUGGGGAGCAAACAGG
rnacentral:rRNA from 1 species